rnacentral:misc_RNA from 1 species
UGCAAGAACAAAAUGAACCUUUAGCAUGUUUGCAAGCCGCAAUGUCAAAAAGGCUAUGUUUUUGAAAACUUGAUAUUCUGGUUUCAUAUUGGGCAUUUUUUUUAGAUUUUGAAUAUCAAACCGGAUUCAAAUAGUUUUCAUAAUGAGAAUUGAUAAUUUGCACAACACAAGUCUUUGAAACAGUUGGAAUACUUGCCCGAUACCAUAUUUUGUUGACUUUGGAUGCCAGAAUUUCCGAUACCUCUGAGACGGUUAAAGUUUGUGGAAGCACUUAUUGGACACAGACAAGUUUCUUUACAUAUGCAGAACAAAAAUCCAGAAAAAUGUAUAUGAGACGAGAUCGGGAAUAUUUUUUCAAAGCUUACUUAGCAGAUGGUGGCGGAGAAUAUCAGUUAGAGAUUGGGUUAUUAGGUUAUAAAACCAACCUGAGAAAUGCUGAUUUUGAUAAAGUAUUUAAUGAAGUUCAAAAUAUAACAAUAUAUUCUGUUUACAAACCUGAAAUCCAGAUAAUUGAUGUUAGCAACUUGAAUGUAACCAGUCAAAUUUAAUUAUCAUAUGGUGGUCGCAGCACACGUUUAUUUUCAGUUAAUAGUUCUGUCACAGAUAUUGAAAACACAUUAAAAACAGAUAUCUUUUCUGAAAAUUGUUUGUUUGUAUCAACCUCUGGAGCAAAUGUGUUUUACUCUGAGGGUUAUGAAUUUGAUUUAAGAGCCGGAGGCAAAGAGUAUGGUGUUCGAAUAGAAAAUCAACGUCCUUUUUGUGGUCGUCGCAUGCUUCAACUUUCAAAUGACCUGAUAAUAUUUUAUGCUGAUCAAACUGUUGCUAAUGACACUACAAAAAAGUCAUCCUUUGAUAUUUCCAUAUAUAAAUAUCUAUGCUUUUUUAUCUUUGGUGCAUUUUCAAACACAAUUAAUAUACAGUUCUCUUAUAAAAAAACUGAUGGCUCAACAGACAGUGUGACAAAAAACUACCCUUUUAUUGAUGAUAAUCGAAUGGUUUGUAUAAAUUUAAUGGAUACAAUAACAACUGAAAGUAUAUACAAACUUCCUAUAAAUAUUAUAUCUUUGCAACUUGUUCGUGAUCCUUCUAGGUAUUCUUUAAGCCAAAUUUAUGUGGAUGAAAUAUGGUUAUCAAACAUCAGAAGAGAUAUCAACAUUCUUAGUAGCGCACCAGGCACGUGGGUUGAUAUGAUAAAGGUAGUAAAACUACUUCAGGUACAUACGGAGAGAACUGGAAUAUUUCUAUGUAUAUUAAUUUGUGUGGUAACAACCCAUAUACUUUUGAAGCAGUUAGUGAUGGAAAACCAGUUUAGUAUAUAAAUAUCAAAGCUCUUUUCCACCACUUUCUGGAACAGAUUUCCCAUGUGCUAAAUGAUGGAACAACUACUUUAACUAAUAACAUUCUUCUCAGUGUAGAUGCAAUUACUUUAAAAAAAACACUUGAAGACAGUAUAACUAAUGCAGUUUUUAUAAUUAGUAGUUAUAGUAAUUGUACUUAUUACCAAUGGAGAGUGGAGUGGUUUUCUGGAGGGGGUGAUAAAGAAAUGUUGCAGCUUGUAAUUGAUAAUGUUAGAGGUCAGGAUGUUAUAAGCAAUACAAUUGUUAUUCAAAAUGGAGGUAUUUUAUUCGGACCGCUACCAGGAGAAUUCCUUCAACUUGCUGAGCCUAAUCCACAAAUGAAGAUAUGCAAUUAUUGGAAAUUUUUCAGAUGACAGAUGGUGCUUUUUCCUCUUUCCAGUAUGCUGGUGUAACUCGUGCUAAUAUAGACAGCUCAUUGUUUGUUCUUCGUCCAUCAGUUAAAAAAGCAAUCAGAAGUGAGUUGGAUUUUGUGUUUAUUUCAUUAGAUCAAAAGACAUUUCAUCCAGCCAUUGAGAAUGCGGUUCUUGUACGUGAUGCAUUUAAAAAGCAAAUCAAAGUAAAGAUGAUUACCAGAGAUGAAAUUACUGAGCUAUUUUGUAUUUGUGGUGAACCUGGCAUCUUUAAAUGUAUGAAAUGCCUCAAACAAAUUUAUUGCAGUGAAAGUUGCAAACAAAGAGAUUAUUGGUUGCACAAAAAAUAUUGUAUAAAAUGAAUUAUUUGUAUGAAAUUUAUAUGUAAUAUAAUUAUAAAACCUCUAUUUAUUGAAUGAUUUGAUCUAGUAAAAUACGAUCUAAUAACUGAAUUUUCAGGUUUUUUAAUUUGU